UAAAGGGACUGUAAGUAGGAAUUACUCCCAUCUAGUGGUGAAAUUGUAUUUUGCAUUCAAACUAAUUUUGCUCUCCAGCGCCUCGCUUUUUCAAAUGCGCGAUGUCUUCUUAAUAGCACUUCGUUGAGUUUUCCUUCAGGUGAACAGGUGUGUUAUUUCAAACAAACUGCAACAUGACAACUAACAAACGAAUGUUACAGUAUGAAUUACUGAUUGUGGAAAACAUGAAAUAUUGUAAUUAGUAGUUAUGUCUUCUUUAUUCGUUAUAUUUUCUGAAUUAUGUGCAUUGUUAGAUAU